GACGAACGCUGGCGGCGUGCUUAACACAUGCAAGUCGAACGGAAAGGCCCUGCUUUUGUGGGGUGCUCGAGUGGCGAACGGGUGAGUAACACGUGAGUAACCUGCCCUUGACUUUGGGAUAACUUCAGGAAACUGGGGCUAAUACCGGAUAGGAGCUCCUGCUGCAUGGUGGGGGUUGGAAAGUUUCGGCGGUUGGGGAUGGACUCGCGGCUUAUCAGCUUGUUGGCGGGGUAGUGGCUUACCAAGGCUUUGACGGGUAGCCGGCCUGAGAGGGUGACCGGCCACAUGGGGACUGGGAUACGGCCCAGACUCCUACGGGAGGCAGCAGUGGGGAAUAUUGCACAAUGGGCGGAAGCCUGAUGCAGCAACGCCGCGUGCGGGAUGACGGCCUUCGGGUUGUAAACCGCUUUCGCCUGUGACGAAGCGUGAGUGACGGUAAUGGGUAAAGAAGCACCGGCUAACUACGU
rnacentral:rRNA from 1 species